CAUGUUUUCAAGCUUUUGUACCUUCUCUCCAACAAGAGAGGGGAGAAGAGGGAAUGACCGGGGUAUAAUCACACUCCUUUGUAAGCAAGAAUGCACAAAGCUCAACGAGAGAGGAUUUAUCCAGUGUUCGACAACAACUGGUUUUCCAGAGAUGAAUGAAGGACCAGGCAAAGUGCAGACCACAUAAGCGAGGAGAUGUUGUCACAGCAGGAGAUUUACUAUUGGUGGUGGGAUUUGAACCAUGCCUUUGGAUAAUCGAUGCUGAACUCUGGCUGGUAAUCGAAUAGCUUUAACCACUACUCUGUCAGGUCUGUAUUUAUGCACGGUGGAACAAUUGCUUGCUGUUGUGAAGGAUGUCAGUGAAUAUCUCCUUCAGCUCAGGCUGACCUGCUGAGUACG